rnacentral:rRNA from 1 species
AGAAUCAACGCUGGCGGCGUGCCUAACACAUGCAAGUCGAACGAGAAAGGGGAGCAAUCCCUGAGUAAAGUGGCGACCGGGUGAGUAACACGUGACUAACCUACCCUCGAGUGUGGAAUAACAUCGGGAAACCGAUGCUAAUACCGCAUAACAUCGGCGCUUUUAAGAGAUGCCGAUCAAAGGAGCAAUCCGCUUGAGGAGGGGGUCGCGGCUGAUUAGCUAGUUGGCGGGGUAACGGCCCACCAAGGCGAAGAUCGGGUA